rnacentral:rRNA from 1 species
GAUGAACGCUGGCGGCGUGCCUAAUACAUGCAAGUCGAGCGAACAGACGAGGAGCUUGCUCCUCUGACGUUAGCGGCGGACGGGUGAGUAACACGUGGAUAACCUACCUAUAAGACUGGGAUAACUUCGGGAAACCGGAGCUAAUACCGGAUAAUAUAUUGAACCGCAUGGUUCAAUAGUGAAAGACGGUUUUGCUGUCACUUAUAGAUGGAUCCGCGCCGCAUUAGCUAGUUGGUAAGGUAACGGCUUACCAAGGCAACGAUGCGUAGCCGACCUGAGAGGGUGAUCGGCCACACUGGAACUGAGACACGGUCCAGACUCCUACGGGAGGCAGCAGUAGGGAAUCUUCCGCAAUGGGCGAAGGCCUGACGGAGCAACGCCGCGUGAGUGAUGAAGGUCUUCGGAUCGUAAAACUCUGUUAUUAGGGAAGAACAAAUGUGUAAGUAACUAUGCACGUCUUGACGGUACCUAAUCAGAAGGCCACGGCUAACUACGUG